rnacentral:rRNA from 1 species
CCUACGGGUGGCAGCAGUGAGGAAUAUUGGUCAAUGGGCGCGAGCCUGAACCAGCCAAGUCGCGUGAGGGAAGACGGUCCUAUGGAUUGUAAACCUCUUUUGUCGGGGAGCAAAAGACGCCACGCGUGGCUUUCCGAGAGUACCCGAAGAAAAAGCAUCGGCUAACUCCGUGCCAGCAGCCGCGGUAAUACGAAGGAUGCGAGCGUUAUCCGGAUUUAUUGGGUUUAAAGGGUGCGCAGGAGGAAGAUCAAGUCAGCGGUAAAAUUGAGAGGCUCAACCUCUUCGAGCUGUUGAACUGGUUUUCUUGAGUGAGUGAGAAGUAUGCGGAAUGCGAGGUGGAGCGGUGAAAUGCAUAGAUAUCACGCAGAACUGAGAUUGCGAAGGCAGCAUACCGGCGCUCAACUGACGCUCAUGCACGAAAGUGUGGGUAUCGAACAGGAUUAGAUACCCCAGUAGUC